rnacentral:tRNA from 1 species
CGGGGUUUAGUUAAACACAGAUAUACCGUCUCCCCUACACUGAGAAGUUACCCGUGCAAACCGGGUUGCCCCGA